rnacentral:lncRNA from 1 species
AAACAGGCUCACGAAUACCAUCAAUAUCUACUGGAGGGGCAGCAAUGAAAGCGAUAAUAAAUACAGAAGUUGCGGUCAAUAAGGUAGGGAUCAUCAAAACACCAAACCAUCCAAUGUAAAGACNAAGGACCGCCGUUGUAUAACCAUUCAUCAACGGAUGCAGCUUCCCAUAUCGGGUAAAAGUGCAAACCGAUAGCCGCAGAAGUAGGAAUAAUGGCACCAGAAAUAAUAUUGUUUCCGUAAAGUAGAGACCCAGAAACAGGCUCACGAAUACCAUCAAUAUCUACUGGAGGGGCAGCAAUGAAAGCGAUAAUAAAUACAGAAGUUGCGGUCAAUAAGGUAGGGAUCAUCAAAACACCAAACCAUCCAAUGUAAAGACGGGUUUCAGUGCUGGUUAUCCAGUUACAGAAGCGACCCCAUAGGUUUUCGCUAUCGCGUCUCUCUAAAAUUGCAGUCAUGGUAAAAUCUUGGGUUUAUUGAAAUUGAAUUAUCAGGGACUCCCAAGCACACUAAUUCUCUAUAACUAUAGAAUUAAGGGCUUGUUAUAAAACAGUAUAACAUGACUUAUAUACGGGUGUCAACCAAUACCAAUAUCCACCGUAUCCUGUUAUUGAUCUAGAUUCAGACAUAUUUUAUUUCAAAAGAUGAGAAUCGACCCCCCAGUAGUUCAAAUUCAUAUAGGAGGUCCCAGACGAAACAAGGAAACACUCUAUUUCUCAUUAAACAGAAUUAAUGCACCGAUUAUUCAUUAAUUAUACGUGAUCCACUGGAGGAUCACAACAGAUCCGAGAUAACAAAACGGAGAUAUGCGUGAUGCGUAAGUUUAGGUAAAAGGCAAUCGUGUAUCAUUGAGACCAAAAAGUUAGUAGGGACCUGUGAAUGAAGCUCAAGUCUCAGCGAUCAACCAACAUGUAUAAAUUACUAUUACUUAAAGAGAUUUAAUCCUUAUACAUACCCAAUCAGCAAUACGAAGGACAUAAAUAAUAGACAGAACAAAAUUGGAAUAGAGCAAUUAAAAUGAGAGACAAAAAAAUGAAACUAAGUUUUUGACAAUGGAUCAAGAAUCAGCGCUAUUUUGGAAGCAGUUAAACGGAUCCAGAGUAAUAAGAUAUCAAAAUUCUGUUUAUCCAAAGAUCUGACACCCUAAUCAUUCCCAGGUAAUGAAGGAUGUAUAAGGAGACCAGUGAAGAAAAUAGCAGUAUUAAAUACGAUUUAGUACAGAAACAAGCAAAAUGUGUAGCUCCGAGACGAAGAUUCUUUCCAUAAAAGAUCGAAUCACUAGACAUAAUGAAGAAGCGAAGUAACAAUAGCAGAAAAAAGAGAAUUGCCACAAUCGCUCGUGGCUAUACGGAUCAAUAAAAAAGCAAACAAAAUGAAACAUACGAAAAAGCGGACAAUAAAUUAUGGUGAUUUUGUAAUGUAACCAAUCAUCCAAAAUAUUAUUCGUAAAUGAAGUGAAGAAACAAAAGUUCACGCGUUGGACAUAGAACGACGUCAUGCAAACGCGACAUAACCCAUAGCCCUAGCUGAAUGAUGGCGAGGUUCGAUCCACCCGUGCUUAUUAAGUAUUAGUGAGUAAACAGGAAUUCAUUACCCACAACACAUACCGAGAAGACGUCGAGCAGUUGCCGCAGCGCGAAGAUCCCAGGCAAGCCCCAAGAUUCGAGAUAAUAGAUAAAUGAGAUAUAAAAUAAAGCGAAAGAAAGAAUAGAUCACGUAUUGAAAGUACAAUGCGAAGAUCAUACUAGAGAAAAAGAAACCUUAUUCUUAUGUUGUGAAAUGAUGGUAAUAAGUAAAUAAAUAGNUACCUCAUUUCACCAUCCAUUCAAAAAAAAAGAAAAAAGGUUUUCUAUAUUCUCUAGAUAUGACUUCGCUAUGAUAUGUAAUAGUGAUCUAUUCAUUCUUUCGCUAUAUUAAUUAUAAUAUAUAAUUUAUCUAUUAAUUAGAAUGGGUUGCCCGGGACUCGAACCCGGAACUAGUCGGAUGGAGUAGAAAAUUCCAUGUUUAAUCAAAUAAAACAAUAAAAAACCCCUCCCCAAGCCGUGCAUGCAUUUUUCAUUGCACACGGCUUUCCCUAUGUAUACAUCUAAACCUGAGUUACUUUUCCAGAAGAGGAAUCUUGAAACUCAACUCUUAACAUUUCAUAAUCCUUUCUAUAUAGAUAUAUAUAAUAUUUAAGUAUCAUAACCAAUCAUUCAUCAUGGACCAGAUCGUUACUGAAAAGAAUAUCCAAAUACCAAAUACGAUUUCUAUGUAACCUCUGCAAAGUAGAGGAAUCUCUUGGAAAAAUCAAAGAAAUAAUUUCUUCUUCCUCUGUAAAGAAUUCUUGCAAUAAUUCUUCUGAACCUGAUCUUUUCAAAAAAGCGCGUACAGUACUUUUGUGUUUACAAGCCAAAGUUUUAAUACAAGAAAGCCGAAGUAUAUAUUUUAUUCGAUACAAACUUUUUUUUUUUGAGGAUCCAUUAUAAUAAUGAGAAAGAUUUCUGCAUAUUCGCAAAAAUCGAUCAAUAAUAUCAAAAUCGGAUGAAUCGGCCCAGACCGGCUUACUAAUGGGCUCCCCUAAUACAUUACAAAAUUUCGCUUUAGCCAAGGAUCUAAUUAGAGGAAUAAUUGGAACUAUUAUAUCCAAUUUUUUGAUAACAAUUUCGAUUAGAAAUGUAUUUUGCAGCAUUUGACUCCGUACCACUGAACGAUUUAGUCGCACAUUUGAAAAAUAGCCUAAAAGCUGAAAUGAAUGUUCGGAUAAUGGGUUUAUAUUGAUCAUUCUUGGUUGAGACCAAACAUCAAAAAAACAUUGCCAUAAAUGGAUAAAAUAGUGUUUCCAUUUAUUCAUCAAAAAAGGCGCAUUCUUUGAAGCCAGAAUGCAUUUUCCUUGAUAUCGAACAUAAUGAAUGUUAGGAUCCUUGAAGAAUGUUAAAGGAUACGAAAAAUCUUUAGCAAAAACUUUUCCAAGAUGCUCUCUUUUUCCAUAAAAAAAAAUUCGCUCAAAAAAAAUGCUAAAAGAUUUGAAUCCUAAAUGAGAGGAUUUAUUACGUAGAAAAACGAGGAUAUAUUCAUAUUCACAUACAUAAAAAUUAUGGAGGAACAAAAAUAAUCUUGGAUUACUUUUUGAAAAAGUCGAAAUCGAUUUUUUGGUAGUAAUAAAACUAUUCCAAUUACAAAAAUGAUAAAGAAACAGCCGUAAUAAAUGAAAAAAAGGGGCAUCUUUCACCCAGUAUCGAAGGAUUUGAACUAAGAUUUCCAGAUGGAUAGGAUAGGGUAUUCGUAUAUCUGACACAUAAUUUAAAUAUGUAAAUUUAUCUUCCAAAAAGGGGAAAAUGGAAUGAAUUGAUCUCAAAUUUUUAAAAGAUUUGAGGAUUUCUGCCUCCUCGAAGGAAGAGCUUAAUUGUCGGAAAAAUGGAAUUUCCACGACGAUGGCAAAACCCUCUGAUAUUAUUUGACAAUCCAAAUUCUUAUUAUACCCCCAAAAUGGAUUUUUGGGAGAAUCAUUAGCCGAAAUGAUUAAAUGAUUCUGUUGAUACAUUCGAGUAAUUAACCGUUUUACAAUUAGUAAACUAUAUUUAUUGUCAUAACCUACAUUUUCCAAAAAAAUGGAUCUAUGAAAAUGAUGACUAUAAGCAAGUCCAUAAAUAUACUCCCUAAAAAGAAGUGGGUAUAGGAAGUCCUGUUGGCGAGAUCUAGAUCGUUCUAAAUAUACUUGAUAUUCCUUCAUUUUCUAAAUUCGAUUUGGUCAAAGGAUCAGAGAUUCAUUGGAUUCUCAAAUGAUACAUAGUGCGAUACAGUCAAAACAAGGUAUUCUAUAUCUAUAUUCGAAUUGAAAUCAAAAACAAAUAUGAAUAGAUACCUAGAAAACGAGUUAAAACCGAUUAAUGGACUAUCUCCCCUCGCUUGUUCCUUCUCAUUUUAACAAGCUAGUUAGAAAUCCUUUAUUUUUUGGACCAAUCGCUCUUUUGAUUUUGGAAAAAAAUAUCUUUAUCAAUAUACUCUUUCUUCUACAUAUUUCUUGCUACCCCAUAACAUAAUGGGGUAUAGCUAAUAAUUAGGACUCAUAACAAAAAUCCUUAAUCCAUUCGUGGGAAAAAGUUUUUCCACAGCAAGCACUAAUCCUUUUUUAACGUAUAAUUAGAUGUGGUAAUCAUUCAAAUAAAAAAUGAAAGCUCGUUGCUUUUUGUUUCCUUAUAAUUGGAGCAGCUAAGCUCUAUCCCUUUAUUAAUUCAACCCAACGUAAUUCAUUUGUUCCGAGUCAACAAUUCAAAGAAAAAUAUUGGUCGGAUCCAAUAUGAAUGAAAAAUUUUUAGAAUUCACCGUUGAUACGACAUGCUGCUUUUUCCAUUCAUUCCUUUCUGGAUCAGUCGUGGUCUUACAAACCCUACCGAUGGUAGGGAUGAACCAAUUAGUUCAUAGAAAUGUGUAAAAAAUGGAGUCGCACUUAAAAGCCGAGUACUCUACCAUUGAGUUAGCAACCCUAAUCAAAUUACAAACAAGGAUGUGUAUAGCCAAUCGCAAUAAAAAAAAAAGAUGCAAUUCUAUAAAUAAUAGAAUCAAAUGUUACAUAUUACAUUAAAUUACAAUGAAAAAAAACAGAAAAAAAAUUAGAAUCAAAAAUGAUAGACCACUUAUUUAGGACAGUAGUUAUUUGUGUAUUACUAUAGUUUUAAAUUAUUAUUAUUUUUUACAUAUUUUUCAUAUUUCUAUUUCACUUUGAAUAAAAAAAAAACUUCUUGUUUGUAUCAAACAAAAUACAACGAAUCCACCAUUAAGAUUAAGUAAAAAACCUAUCUGACAUGAGUCAAUCGAUCCAUUUAUUCACGAUCAGAUUAUAUUUGUUUGAUACACUGUUGUCAAUAUUAGUGUUGACAAAAUAUAUAUAUAUCGAUCCUUCGGAUCGAUAGGAUUUAUUAUAGAUACAAACAACAAGUAUUGUGUACAGUAUUCGGCUCAAUCCUUUUAGUAAAAGAUUGGGCCGAGUUUAAUGGAAAUUAAUAGAACGAAUGAUUAUUACUGGAUUACAAAGUAUCCAUUGCUGGGAAUUCAAAUUUGAUUUCCUUCCAGACUUCACAAGCAGCAGCUAAUUCAGGACUCCAUUUGCAAGCUUCACGGAUAAUUGCAUUACCCUCGCGAGCAAGAUCACGUCCCUCAUUCCGAGCUUGUACACAUGCUUCCAGAGCUACUCGAUUCGCUACGGCACCAGGUGCAUUUCCCCAAGGGUGUCCUAAAGUUCCUCCACCGAAUUGGAGUACAGAAUCAUCUCCAAAUAUCUCGGUCAGAGCAGGCAUAUGCCAAACGUGAAUACCCCCUGAAGCAACAGGGAUAACACCUGGUAAAGAAACCCAAUCCUGAGUGAAAUAAAUACCGCGACUUCUAUCUUUUUUAAUAUAAUCAUCACGUAGUAAAUCAACAAAACCUAAAGUAAUCUCCCUUUCUCCUUCAAGUUUACCUACUACAGUACCAGCGUGAAUAUGAUCUCCACCAGACAAACGUAAGGCUUUAGCUAAUACACGAAAGUGCAUACCAUGAUUUUUUUGUCUAUCGAUAACUGCAUGCAUUGCACGGUGGAUAUGAAGAAGUAGACCAUUAUCCCGGCAAUAGUGAGACAGGGUAGUAUUUGCAGUGAAUCCACCUGUUAAGUAGUCAUGCAUUACGAUAGGAACGCCCAAUUCUCUAGCAAAUACAGCUCUUUUUAGCAUUUCUUCACAUGUACCCGCAGUAGCAUUCAAAUAAUGUCCUUUGAUUUCACCUGUUUCGGCCUGUGAUUUAUAAAUUGCUUCGGCACAAAAUAAGAAACGGUCUCUCCAACGCAUAAAUGGUUGGGAGUUCACAUUUUCAUCAUCUUUGGUAAAAUCAAGUCCCCCGCGGAGACAUUCAUAAACUGCUCUACCAUAAUUCUUAGCGGAUAAACCCAAUUUUGGUUUAAUAGUACAUCCCAAUAGGGGACGUCCAUACUUGUUCAAUUUAUCUCUCUCAACUUGGAUUCCGUUAGGAGGACCUUGGAAAGUUUUAACAUAAGCAUCAGGGAUUCGCAAAUCUUCUAGACGUAGAGCGCGCAAGGCCUUGAACCCAAAUACAUUACCUACAGUGGAGGUAAACAUGUUAGUAACAGAACCUUCUUCAAAAAGGUCUAAGGGAUAAGCUACAUAAGCAAUAAAUUGAUUAUCUUCUCCAGGAACAGGCUCGAUCUCGUAGCAGCAUCCUUUAUAACGAUCGAGGCUCGUAAGUCCAUCAGUCCAUAAAGUUGUCCAUGUACCAGUGGAAGAUUCUGCAGCUACCACUGCACAUGCUUCUUCAGGCGGAACUCCAGGUUGAGGAGUUACUCGGAAUGCUGCCAAGAUAUCAGUAUCUUUAGUUUGAUAGUCAGGAGUAUAAUAAGUCAAUUUAUAAUCUUUAACACCAGCUUUGAACCCAACCUUUGCUUUCGUUUCUGUUUGUGGUGACAUAAAUCUCCCCCUACAACGCAUGAAUUAAGAAUUAAGAACCCAACCUUUGCUUUCGUUUCUGUUUGUGGUGACAUAAAUCUCCCCCUACAACGCAUGAAUUAAGAAUUAUAGCAACAACAACAAGGUCUACUCGACAUAACUUAGGAGUUAAUAAAACCUUUUACAAAUGAUCCAUCAACUAAUAUUAUCAAUGAAUCCGAAUGGGUCAUUGUUAAAUUUUACCAUGAUAUUUGAUUUGGGAAAUACAUCAUUAUUCUAUACUCUUUCAUAUGAAUGGCGCAACCCAACCGUUUUUUAUUGAGUCUCUUAUUUUUUUUUUGGAAUAUCAUUUUCUAAUCUAAAUAAUAAAAAAGAUAUUCUUGACCUUGACAGUGAUAUAUGUUGUAUAUGUAAAUCCUAGAUGUAAAAAUCGGCAGAAUUUUCCCAAAAAAAAGAAAAAUUGGUAAAAAUGAUAUGCUAAGUAUAAAUCCUAUGUUGAGGAAAUAAAAAAUAAGGACCAAUGAGAUAGAAAAACGGAAUCAUAAACAAAGUUCAGGUUCUAAUUCCAUAGAUAAUAUAGUAUUGUCUAUAAUCUAGAUGACUGGGUUGCCCUUGAAAAUUCAAUCAUUGAAAUUUUAAAACAAUUGAAUUGAUUGGAUGGUACGAAGAAAAUAGAUUAUUAACUUACAUUUAUUAUUCAAUAUCAUUAACCACUUGCUUUCUUAUCGAACUUUAAAAAAAAAAAACCGAUAUUUUGCAAUAUGAUAAUAACUCCUCCUCCCUGUGAUAUACAUUCCUCUUAGUCUCGACGUUAGGAAUUAUUUUUUUCACUAUCUUUUUAAGAGAACCCCCUAAAGUUCCAACUAAAAACACAAAAUGAUUUUGAAUUAUCUCAAUUGAAGUAAUGUGCCUCCAAUAUCGUAAUAUGGGGGGCUCAUUACUUCAACUAGUCCCCAUGUUCUUCGAAUGGAUCUCUUAGUUGUUGGGAGGGUUGCCCAAAAGCAGUAUAUAAGGCAUACUCAGUAAAACUUACAAUUAAACCGGAUAUAGAGAUGGAAAUUAGGGUUGUUGUUUCCAUGAUUGUAUAAUAUCAAGACUACAAUGGAUCUAUAGGGUAAGAUCCUUUAUCUACAGCGGAAUGGUAUACAAAGUCAAUAGAUCUCAAUCAAAAGAAAAGGAUUCAUGGCUACACAAACCGUUGAGGGUAGUUCUAGAUCUGGACCAAGACGAACUAUUGUAGGAGAUUUAUUGAAACCAUUGAAUUCAGAAUAUGGUAAAGUAGCUCCGGGGUGGGAAACUACCCCUUUGAUGGGGAUUGCAAUGGCCCUAUUUACGGUAUUUCUCUCUAUUAUUUUAGAGAUUUAUAAUUCAUCCCUUUUACUGGACCAAAUUUCUAUAAGUUAGAGAAUUCUAUUCACAAGAACCAACUAACUAGCUUUUCAAUAGAAAAGUAAAGUUUACCAUUUAGAUUGUUCCUUUUUAGCCCAUUCCAUUUUGAUUUAUUUGGUAGUUCAACCGCGAAACUUCUUUCUUUCUGUAUUUCCGGAAUAUGAGUGUAUGACUUAUUAUAAAGGAUCCUAUUGAUAGUACAGAACAUAAAGUGGAUACGUCAUCUUAUCUUGAUAGAUGACUUUACCCCGUCAGAUAUUUAUUCUAGUAUCUAGAGCAUGGAAUAUAGAAAAUAAAUAGAUUCUAAAGUGUUAGAACUAUGGUUCAUACUUAAUAUUUAUAUUUAGACCUCGCAACCAGACGAAAAAAAUGAAAGUCUUAGAAUAAUUCAUUUAGAAAACGAAAUGGAAUUUUAUUCUUUAAAACUGCUGCCGCUUAUCCAUUUCUUUGUAUUUUUUUCACUAUAUCUAUUUCUUGAAAUUGAAUAAGUGAUGAUUCAGCCGUUCUUACUCAGGGAAUUCUUGGACUUCGAUUAAAGGUUUUUCUUCGAAAUCAUCGUGUUUCUGGUAUGAAUCUCAGGUUUUUAAUUGAUUCUUAUAGGGUCUUAA